UACGUAGGGGGCAAGCGUUGUCCGGAUUUAUUGGGCGUAAAGAGCGUGUAGGCGGCUUGGUAGGUCCGCUGUGAAAACUCGAGGCUCAACCUCGAGAUGUCGGCGGAAACCACUUGGCUAGAGUCCGGAAGAGGAGAGUGGAAUUCCUGGUGUAGCGGUGAAAUGCGCAGAUAUCAGGAAGAACACCUAUGGCGAAGGCGGGUCUCUGGGCCGAUACUGACGCUGAGGAGCGAAAGCGUGGGGAGCGAACAGG
rnacentral:rRNA from 1 species